CCCUUAGAUGUUCUGGGCCGCACGCGCGCUACACUGAUACGUUCAACGAGCUCCUUGACCGAGAGGCCCGGGUAAUCUUUGAAACCGUAUCGUGAUGGGGAUAGAACAUUGCAAUUAUUGUUCUUCAACGAGGAAUGCCUAGUAAGCGCGAGUCAUCAUCUCGCGUUGAUUACGUCCCUGCCCUUUGUACACACCGCCCGUCGCUCCUACCGAUUGAACGUGCUGGUGAAGCGUUAGGACUGGAGGUUUUGGGCCGGUUCGCCUGCCCAUCGCUUCGGGAAUUUCGUUGAACCCUCCCGUUUAGAGGAAGGAGAANUCGUAACA
rnacentral:rRNA from 1 species